CACCGUGCAGUUCACCACCCGUGUCUGGACGCAGGCCACCCUCACGCUCUCCUCAGAAACCGCCCCACGUGAUGUGACUGUGGCUCUGAAGCGCGACCGUGCCUGCUGGACAGGUUUAACAUGGCCUGGCCCUCGACCGAGAUGUACACGAGGAACCGUGGAGAUGGAGGCGCUGUGUGUUUACUGCCCGUGACUAGUCUCGGGUCUUCUCUCUGCCUCCACACGCCUCACAAAGACAGCAUUCCUGAACCUUUUGAGGGUGAAAAAGGCCCCAGGGGUCUGUCUUCAACACUCGGCAGCUUUUUUUCCCAGCCCAAGCCACAACCACAGUAAUGGAGUACAACCUACCCAACAGGCACAUGAAGUGGCCACACGCUGACCGUCUUCAUGAAUCCUCAGUGGACAGCACUGAGAAUGGACACCCGGUCAGACACAGACUACUGCUUUGAAGAUGUGAUCUUGCAGGUUGUGAAGAUGACGAAGAUGAUCAGAAGAUUCUGAGUCACUACGCUCUACUGACGCUGCAGCCUGAGGGGUUCACUGGCAGGUGGCUCUUCAGAAAUAUGCUGCAGCCCUAGAAUUCAGUCUGAAGGCUCUGUGGAGACCAUACAAGUGGUGUACAUGGAUCGAAACUACCAUCUGGAGUCCUUUCCACGCAACUUUGGAGAGAAUUCUAUAUAAACAAACAAAAAAAUGCUUGAUUUUAGGUCAAAUUUAAUUAGAGAGAUUGAGUGAAAAAACAUUUAAAACAUCAUUUGGCAUAAAACCAUUCAAAGAAGGCUCACUUGGCUCUCUGUGCUGCUACUAUGUUGUCUGUACUCUGCUAGCUGCUACUUAUAGUAUCACAGUCUUUUGCUGUGGUCAUGAACCUAUCCUAGUGUUUUCUGUAUGUGUGUGUAUUCUUGUGAUUUUAGUCAUUGUUUCCAUGCUGUUUUGUAUGAUCAUUGAAGAGAUGGCUUUUCGUUGAUAAUAAGAGAACAGAGUUUUAAGAGUGAA